rnacentral:rRNA from 1 species
AUGGGGACUCGUCGUCGCUCCCCUCCACGAGCAGGACCUCCACCAGCCACUCCUCACACUGCGGCGAGGGCCCGUGGAGGGCGAGUCCGUCUUCGCCGACGAGAGGACGCCGCGGAGGAGGAGACCAUCGUGUCGCCCAAUCGAUGCAUCCAUGGCGCUGUCCCAGGAAGCUCGUUGCUGGGCCUCCGCCUCCGUCGUCCACCGGAACCACCUGAGUCGUCCCUCUCCCUUGCUGUGCACGCUGGGAAUCGAUGCUCUAUCCCUGCAGUGCUCGUUGGGAAUCACCGGAGUCGCCGCUCCCUCCGCCUUGCUACUGGGGUGUGA